rnacentral:tRNA from 1 species
GCCCGGGUGGCGGAAUUGGUAGACGCGCAGCGUUGAGGGCGCUGUGGCCGAAAGGCCGUGAGGGUUCGAGUCCCUCUCCGGGCACCA